GAUGAACGCUGGCGGCGUGCCUAAUACAUGCAAGUCGAGCGAACAGACGAGGAGCUUGCUCCUCUGACGUUAGCGGCGGACGGGGGAGUAACACGUGGAUAACCUACCUAUAAGACUGGGAUAACUUCGGGAAACCGGAGCUAAUACCGGAUAACAUGUUGAACCGCAUGGUUCAACAGUGAAAGACGGUCUUGCUGUCACUUAUAGAUGGAUCCGCGCCGCAUUAGCUAGUUGGUAAGGUAACGGCUUACCAAGGCAACGAUGCGUAGCCGACCUGAGAGGGUGAUCGGCCACACUGGAACUGAGACACGGUCCAGACUCCUACGGGAGGCAGCAGUAGGGAAUCUUCCGCAAUGGGCGAAAGCCUGACGGAGCAACGCCGCGUGAGUGAAGAAGGUCUUCGGAUCGUAAAACUCUGUUAUUAGGGAAGAACAAAUGUGUAAGUAACUAUGCACGUCUUGACGGUACCUAAUCAGAAAGCCACGGCUAACUACGUG
rnacentral:rRNA from 1 species